UAGGAGAGCAAGAAUACUUAACUGAGGUAA
rnacentral:piRNA from 1 species